CCCCUCGCAAGGUCACAUCUGGAGAGUUUCCAGUACUCUACCAGUCUUGACUACAAGAGGGAGAGUCCAGCAGAGGCCUACCCAUUCCAUUCCUAGCUUGGCCAGUGGCUAGCGGGAGGAAGACAAUCUGCUACUAGU
rnacentral:snoRNA from 1 species